UCGUAAAAUACCGAGACUCUUUCGUUAUAACGUUAUUGUAUUACGUAUUUCGCAAGCACGGUUUCGCGGACAGGAAGCGCUUUCUACUUGCAGAAAAACACAAUUUACGAUAAAGAGUUAGCUGUUGAUCGGUAGGAGACCACGACAAUCUACGUUCAUAGCGAUCCUAUGUACGGUAAUAUUCUGCUAACCGAUCACGUAUCGGCUAAUUAUCGAGACAGGCAGAGUUCUGUGAAAUCUGAUUAUAUCUGCCAUUACGCUAUUUCCAAUUAAAAGAAUUAGUUGGAAUAGCGACAAUCACUAUUAAUAAGUUACUAUCGUACUUUAUAUUCAUUCCAUGUAGAUAAAAUCUAAGCAUUUCGGUGCAAAUUUCAAUUAGUAGUGUUUAAUCAAUUAGUAAUAGUUAGUAAAUAGUAACACUUAUAGAAGAUCAAUUAGUUACAGAUUAAGAUAAGAAAACAGAAAAUGCAGAAACAUAAAAGGAGAAUGUCGAAUGGUACAGUAUUAUGAAUGACUAUUCCAUCACGCUAAUGGAACUCGAAUUCUUUCCACUGUAUAAAAUUUAGUUGACAAAUGAGGUUCGCGUGGCGCGUAGAGGGGCGUGCAAAACGAAACGAUUGCAUCACUCCCUGACUCGGUAGCCUCGGUGCAUCACCGUAAUUUUCAGCUACGUCGCAAUGAUAAGGUAUUACGCGGACGAUUACGGCAAUAGCCCGCGAGAACACCCGGUUGCAUUAUACUUUCUAAAGUGAUGCUCAAUUUUCCUUCUUUUUCCCCCUUUGAGCUCGGGUUUCCAUCGUGAAUAAUUGGCAGUAAUUACCUGAAACUACUUGCAUCCAGGCGCACAGAUAGAAGACAGUCGUACUUUGGCAGAAGAAGAAGAGAAGCAUCGCGCAAAUCGUCAAUAGAGCUAUUAUGACAGCGACGCCGACUAGAAUGGUGCUUACUCUGAAGGGAAUGUUCGCGAUUGUCGACAGAUCAUCCAAUCUGCCUAUACAUUCCUCGCCCAAUUCACCUAGAGAAUCGAGCAAAGAAAUAAUACCGAUUAAACGAGUUUUAUGAAAAGUACAGUAACGAGAUUUGAUACUGGGAAAAAAUUAAUUUACCAUUACCACCGUAGCUGCAUCUGGUCCAGAGGCCGAAUCUUCCUGGAUUCUCGUGUUCCAAAUCGCCCAGCCACUCCGGCGUGACAAAUGCCACGACUCCGAUUAUAGCGUAGCAUAUGGUGAAAAUACCCCAGAGAACACCGAUCGCCUUCGAAUUACGAAUAUAAUUCGUCGCGUACAUAUGAGAAGAUUCCACAUACUCUAUCUUCGAGCCCAUGUUGUCGCUAAUGAAAUAUAUUUGCCGAUUAUUUUCUAUACGAUUAUAGCGACUUUUUUUAACUAUCAAAAUAUAAAUGUUACGAUGAAAGAGAUUAUCAAUAAGAAAUAAAAUAUGCGAGGAUAUCGUAAAUAUUUCCACCAAUAAUUUCUUAAUGUCUUCAGGCAAAAAUUGAGUUUUUCCUAAUUUAUUGCAUGUAGAUCGUUAUAAUCAUUACAAAGACGAUCUUAUGAAAAUGAAGGAAAGCGGAAACACAUACUCCUUCGCCAAUAGAUUGUCUUCAGCGUUUCCUCAUCACCGAUCCUGCAGCUUUACGUCGAGAUCCAGUGUACGUUCUCACGUUAAAUCGGUGCCAGUGCCGCCCGUGACAUUUACAUCGGAACAUUCACCGAUCGCCUUAGCAAGGUGCAGCCCGUUUUUCCUUGCAACGAUCUAUCGAUCAGAACGUAACAAUACGCGACUUCUGUUAACCGUAUCAAUUUUCCUAUGAGGACUGGUUUGGUCAAAGACUUAUUUUUUUCUCUUGAGUUCGGAGAGCAAUACUUGUGUCGUAGGUGUGAUAAAAACACUGUCAGAAUUUGCUGAUUAACAUAACACCGGUUUGUAAACAGCGCACAGAACGGGGCGCGCUUUUUCGAUCCAGUACGAAUUCGAAAUCGAAACUAGCUCAUUGAUCUCGACCAAAAAUUAUGAAAUUCAAAAUUCUGAACAUAGCUUAUACACAAAUUAAGGCACAAUGUGCACUAAUACUAAUGCAUAACACAUUUAUUGCAUAUUGAGAAAGAUAUCAGGUCCUUAGACUUCUCAGAUCUCGAAAAAUUAAAACCAUUCCAGUUUCAUUAGAAAGCUAUUGGGUUUGUGCACUCCAACUUCUUCGCAAAGUGAUUAAUUUGAUCCUUGACGUACCUUCACCUCUCCCUUUCGCUGAACUUCGCUCAAGAUUCCUCCAAAGACAUCUGUUUCGAAUUGUCAAUCACCCAACUUCACUAGUUCACUGAGUUCUAUUCCCUGAGAAACCUUCAAUUCUCUUUGAUACACUGGA